GUGCUUGCUUCAGCAGCAUAUAUACCAAAAUUGGAACGAAACAGAGAAGAUUAGCAUGGCCUAUGCGAAAUGGAUGACAUGCAAAUUCGUGAAGCGUUCCAUAUUAAA